AAGCUAUAGUCCCCCGGCCCUCUCGGGUCGGGGUCUUCUAUACCACCCUUUGCUUAUUACACUUUUGUUGCUUUGGCAGGCCUGCCUUUAGGCUGCUGGCUCCGGCCGGCGAGCGUCUGCCAGAGAACCUAAACUCUGUUUGUCUAUACUGUCUGAGUACUAUAUAAUAGUUA
rnacentral:misc_RNA from 1 species